rnacentral:sRNA from 2 species
UGCCCGGCAACGCCGAAUCCACGGCCCGAAGCCGUGGACCGGGGGACCCAAGUCAUUGGGGCUAAUUCCACGGUUGAUCCGUGGGAGGCGCCGGCUCUUUCCGCGCCAGCCCGACAGCUAACCCCGGAGGCCGACGAAAGAGGAAGC